UUCACUCAUUCUGUCGCCCACUCUCUCUAAAUUCCAUAUUCUUUUUAUUUUCCCUAUAACAAAAUCCUGCCUCGUUUUAAGUAUUGUAACUCCCGAUCACCACUACCCUUUCCGAUUGAGCCGAGUUCCAUAACGCAUGUCAAGGCUCUGCCCGACUAAGUUCGUGUGGAUUCCAUCUCGGGACUUCGGGACAGGAUUGAAUUAGGGGUAUUAUACUUAACACGAAUACAUUAUAUAUUUUUCUUUAGCCCAAAGGUUAUACCCAAAAUUUAUACCAGGAGUCCUUUUAGUUGAACCCUAAAAGUUACCCAGUAGGUCUAUUUCUUUUCUCACCAUUUUAUUCUCUUUUUGUAAGUUACCCAAAACUAUUAUUUAUUAUUUAUUAUUUCUAUUUUGUAAACAAACUUUCAUCAAAAGUCCUGCCUAUUAUUUUAUUUACCCAAUAGAGAACCAUAGUUGAGACACCCAAGUAAACCUGCACAAAUCCUAAAAUUUUCAUAGCAAUCAGAAUCAGGAUCAGAACCCCUAAAACUCAAGGGGGGCAAAACCUAGUUAACGAUUAUCUUCAUAAAAACGUUGUCUAAAUACUAUUGGCCGAAUUAUUGACUCAGCUAGCCUACUCCUAAGCGUGGCAACCCUAUGGCGAAAGGCGACCUGUCGCGCCACGCGACAGGAACAAGGGGACCCCUCGCGUGGCGCGAGGGGGACUAAAUUCCAGCUAUAAAUAGUAGAGGUUGGGACUGGCUUCUGUGCGUUUGAACGACGAAGAAAUUCGUCUGAGGCACGGAGUUAUGCUCUGUUUACCACAAUUAACACACACAAACCUCGAAAUUCUGCCGCAAUAACAGGGUAAUAACUCGAUCGCUAUUACGAUUCAUUUCCGGGAUCAAUAUGUCCAAAGAAUGCCUAAGUGCCGCCCACAUUGGGCUAUGCUUUAUCGUUGUCGAUAAUUCGAUAAUGAGCCGAAGCAUUGUACUUUGUCGUUGUCGAUAAUUCGAUAUACGAGUUGAAGUACUAUACUUUGUCGUUUGUCAUUUUGAUAAAUGAGCUGAAGUAUUGCACUUGGACAUUCAUUGUAAAAAUUGAUCUCGGGGAAUUAUCGUAACUGCUGUAUUGAUCAUUAACCUGGUUCUUGUAAAAUUCGUUAAGAGUUGAUUUAGGUUUUUCACCAAUACGUAUUCCAUUCUGUUAAACUACCAAGAAUACUCCCAACUACACCCUUACAAUCAAACAAACUAUUAAAUCAUCAGAAGAUCCAGAAUAAUAAAGUACAUGCUUAAUUAUCGGGAAAAGUAGAAUCAAGAAGUUUGUUAACUCAAUCCUGCAUGCUGAUUUGUAAUUACAAUAGAUUGGAGCAAGGAUUGGAUCCGACACUAAAGGACUUCAAGAAGUGGCUUAUUUUAUUAAUUAAAUCAAAUUAAGAAAUAUUGUUUUUAUUAAAAGCUACCUUUGUAAAACUUGGAAUUUAUUCCAUCCAUUUAAAUAAAAUCUGGUGU
rnacentral:lncRNA from 1 species